UACGUAGGGUGCAAGCGUUGUCCGGAAUUAUUGGGCGUAAAGAGCUCGUAGGCGGUUUGUCGCGUCUGCUGUGAAAACUCGGGGCUUAACUCCGGGCCUGCAGUGGGUACGGGCAGACUAGAGUGCGGUAGGGGAGACUGGAAUUCCUGGCGUAGCGGUGAAAUGCGCAGAUAUCAGGAGGAACACCGGUGGCGAAGGCGGGUCUCUGGGCUGUAACUGACGCUGAGGAGCGAAAGCGUGGGGAGCGAACAGG
rnacentral:rRNA from 1 species